CGCAGCCCAAAUCCAACCCGUUGAAUGACUUAAUCCAGUAAUCUGAAAAGUUGUACAUUUGUGAACCUUCUGUCUGAUGAAUUUCAACAAAUCUAAAUACAGAUCUCAAUUGGCUGAAAUCUAAAAUAUGUUUUAACAAUUGCCACAAUCAAACUGAAACUAAAAUUUGAUGUUUUUGGGUGAAAAAUAGCUCAAGGAUUAUUGUUUUCCCUUUUUGUUUUUGUAACACUUUAAAUAAAAUUUUGUUUCUAAAGUAUAACUUUUUACGCCACACAUGCGAGAUGCGACAUGACCCGCCAGUCUAGGUGCGCAAAAUUUUUGCACGCGGUCCGAGAACUUUGCCCAACCCUGCUCUAGUUCAUAUUUUCAGCUUUGUUGAGAAAUAAAUUACUGAUUUCUGAAUAAUAUCUAUUUUGUUUUAAAAUUCAAUAGAAUUAUAUUGGGUAUAUAUUAAUAUGAUUUAUUUUCAGUAUGUAUGCUAUGUAAGCUUACCCAACCAACCUUAAUUAGGUGUUAUUAUAUUUUAAAGUGAAUUGGAAAGUAGACCGCUAGCAAAAAAAAUUCGGGCGAUUGGGGGGAAGCCCAUCUCUGUACAAUGACUGCCAAAUGUGCAUGCAACUGUGCAAUGCCCAGCGACUCUAAAAGCGUGAAGUAUUGUACGACACAUCCUUUACAAAUAUUUGGACAUACUUUGUGUAAUAUCCAUUUUUUUCCGGUUAUUCUAAAUAAUUAUUACCGAUUAGGUAUUCUGUCAAGUGUCAAUAUUACCAUUGUAAGCUUAAUGAUAUAUACCAUUUUUAUAAUAGGCCCUAUGACAAUGGACUGGAAAAUUCACCUGCUUCAAUUCCCUCUUUCACGCAAUCAUACACUGUGUCAUUUCAAGCAUCUCAAUGUUUCAAUGCGGACAAUGCCCAAAACAGAGAUCAAGCCAUGCUUCAAUCCAGUCCAUAGAAAAAUUGUUGGGACAGGCAGUAGAAACACUUAUGCUACAAGCUACGGCAUCUGCAAUUUUCCACUGAUUAUAGUGUGGACUCGGACAUACCGGAAUUGAUGAAAUUCAUUGUCUGAUUACAUUUUGAUCCAGAAAAAAUGGCUCAUAAGAUAUUUGUCAAGUCUCGGAGGUUGCUCUAAGAAAGACUGGAUUGGAGAAUCAUGAGCUCAGUUACAACAAAUUUACUCGCACGCUCUUUUAACUGUGAAGGACGCAGUGGAUAAGAAGGAGUG